AGUAGUUAUGCCCUUGGCAUCUUUGCUAUUAUCAUUGAUAGACAGAAAAUUACCAGAAUAAUAAAAACUAAACAAUUUCUUAUUUUAAGCAUAAAACAUAAGAAUUUCAUAAAUCAAGCCACUAAAGCAGUUUUGUCUAUGUUCAAUGCUGCCACACAUAAUUAAAAUAAACAUAAUAGUUUAGAAUUUGAUCUUCGGAACAUUUAAAAUUCCUCUUUUAGCUAUUUUGAAAUACAUAAUACAUUAUUAUUAACUGUGAUCACCAUGCUAUGUGAUAGUACACCAGAAUGUAUUCCUCCAGUCUAACUAAAACUUUGUACCCUUUGAUCAAUGCCUCCCCUUUCCCUGUCUACCCCACUAGCCUCUGAUAACCACCAUUCUACUCUCUACUUCUAUGAGUUCAACUUUUUUAGAUGAGAUGGGAUAAUGUUUUAAAAUAUUAAUGACAAUGUGAACCUAAAAUCUAAGUGAUUGUGUUAAAGCACUGCAGUAGAAGUGGUCUUUAUGUGAGAGGCAGAAGAGAAGCAGCAAGGAAUGUGAAGGUAUGUGAUAUGGCUUAGCUGAUCUCACCUUGAAUUGUAGUUCCCAUAAUUCCCAUGUGUCGUGGGAGGGACCUGGUGGGAGGUAACUGAAUCAUGGGGGUGGUUAUCCCCAUGCUAGUGUUCUUGUGAUAGUGAGUUCUCACAUGAUCUGAUGGUUUUAUAAGCUUCUCCCUUUGCUCAGCUCUCAUUCUUCUCUCUCCUGCUGCCUUGUGAAGAAGAAUGUAUUUGCUUCCCCUUCUACCAUGAUUGUAAGUUUCCU
rnacentral:lncRNA from 1 species